UAGUUAUUGCUUUAUCUUAUUGCUUUCCAGAAGUUUAUGAAGUUUUCAAUUGUAUUUCAGGACAAGAUUGAACAACAGAAUGCAGCCUAACAGCAUCAGACCAAUGAAGGCAUGUCAUAUGAAAGCAUGGCUCAGUUACAAGAUGUAAGUAUGUCUCAUUAUCUAUACCAUGGUUUUAAUGGCUUACAUACUAUUUUAAAUUUGUAGGUUUUUACUUACAAACAACAAUAAAUGUACACCCACGUGUUUAAAAUUAUUUUCUAGGUUUUCAUCGAAAGAUGAGAGAUCAACUGAAGAAUGCUAUGGUCCUGACUCUAAGGUGCUCUUUCUAAACUUUCUCCACUUGAUUAAUAUUAUUAAAUUCUAGCUUUGUAUGGAUUCCUUCAUAUUUGUUUGUAUGCCACAUCUUAUGUUCCAGGAAUUGAUUUUACAGCAGCACUUCUCAUGUUGCCAGCCUUGUUAAGCGAGACACUUCAACAUUUCGUUGUGCUCCGGUGCGUAUGUUGUUUUCUGUUUAGUAUAUGCUGUGAUAAAUGCAUUUUAUAAUUCUUGAUAUUCUUUAUAUUAGGAUGACGCAGUGGGUAGUGCUGUCACCUUACAGCAAGAAGGUCGCUGGUUCGAGCCUCAGCUGGGUCAGUUGGCAUUUGUGUGAGGAGUUUGCAUAUUCUUACAGUGUUCGUGAGGGUUUCCUCCAAGUGCUCCGGUUUCCCCACAAUGAACCAUCUUCACCACAUCCAACAGUUCAAGUGCAGGAGGAGGCCACCAACUGGACAACUGUGUUAACAAGACGAGUCACGGCAGUCUUCAGAGUUGAUGGGAUUGUGAUUGGCCGGGCUAAUGAUGUGGACGAAAAUACAUUUUUGGCAUAUCCAUCUUAUUAGAAGAUCACCUUGAUGUUUCUGCAGUGGAAUGUUUUGAAUGAACGGUGGACGGUGACAAGCCUGGAUCUACUCCAGUUACCAAAGUGAUCAACCUUGUUUUUUGUUUCUCUACAUGCUCUUGGGAUAAUCACAAUAAUCAAGUUAAUCCAGCACACUGCUCUCAUUCAUGCAUAAAGCAAAAUUUUAAAUAACUUGUGGUCCUAAUGACAAAGAACAUUUUCCAGUUAUGAGUGCUUUACAUGUCAUGUUUAUCAAAAGCAUAAACACAUAUUGUGUUACAACAAAUUACAACUCCACUUGAGGAUGAUGAGGAGUAAUCUACUGAUGUUGAGGAAGAGGCUACUGAUGUUUUUGGUUUUCUGCACUGUUGAAGCAAUUUAUAGAGAAACUUUGCCUUCAUUCUGAAAUACAGAGAAAAUUUUGAUGACAAAUUAUUUAUUAUGACUGAGUAUUCUGACUCAAGACAAAUACUUUGGACUUUAUAAAGUGAAGUACUUGAUGUAGCCUGUGUAAUGUGUUUAUAAAUCUUAAACAGUAUUCUUGUGGUCUUUGUAUUAAGGGUAGAUUAUAUACUGUACAGUGAGUGAACAGUUUUUAUUCUUAUCUAAAUUGUUCUUUUUACUGUUUUACAUGUCUGCUUUAUACUUGCUGUGUAAUUUUAUUCCUUAACACAUUCAGUUGUGAGUUGUAAUGAAAUAUUUCUACAUUAG
ensembl:lincRNA